rnacentral:rRNA from 1 species
CCUACGGGAGACAGCAGUGGGGAAUAUUGCACAAUGGGGGCAACCCUGAUGCAGCGACGUCGCGUGAGUGAAGAAGUAUCUCGGUAUGUUAAGCUUCAUCAGCAGGAACGAGACAAGACGGUACCUGACUAAUAAGCAUCGGCGAACUGCGUGCCAGUAGCCGAGGUAAUACGGAGGGGGCAAGCUGUAUCCGGAAUCACUGGGUGUAAAGGGAGCGUAGACGGCUGUGGAAGGCUGAAGUGAAAGGCGGGGGCCCAACCCCUGGACUGCUUUGGGAACUGUACGGCUGGAGUGCGGGAGAGGUAAGUGGAAUGCGUAGUGUAGCGGUGAAAUGCGUAGAUAUCAGGAGGAACCCCAGUGGCGAAGGCGGCUUACUGAACUAUAACUGACGUUGAGGCACGAAAGCGUGGGGAGCGAACAGGAUUAGAUACCCGUGUAGUC